GACGAACGCUGGCGGCGUGCUUAACACAUGCAAGUCUAACGGAAAGGCUCUUCUUUUGUGGGUUGCUCGAGUGGCGAACGGGUGAGUAACACGUGAGUAACCUGCCCUUGACUUUGUUAUAACUUUAUGAAACUGGGGCUAAUACCUGAUAUGAUCUCCUGCUGCAUGGUUGGGGUUGGAAAGUUUCGGCGGUUGGGGAUUUACUCGCGGCUUAUCAGCUUGUUGGUUGGGUAGUGGCUUACCAAUGCUUUGACGGGUAGCCGGCCUGGGAGGGUGACCGGCUCCAUUGGGAAUGAGAUACGGCACAGACUCCUACGGGAGGCAGGAGUGGCGAAUAGUGCAGAAUGGCGGGAAGCGUGAGGUAGAAACGCUAGGAUCGGGAUGAUGUCCUUCGGGUGGUAAACCGAUUGCGCCUGUGAUGAAGCAUGAGUGACGGUAAUGGGUAAAGAAGCACCGGCUAACUACGUG
rnacentral:rRNA from 1 species